rnacentral:tRNA from 1 species
CCUGGUGGCUUAGAUGGUAAAGUGUCCGUCUGCAAUGCAGAAGACCUGGGUUCAAUCUCUGCGUCAGGA